UACGUAGGUCCCGAGCGUUGUCCGGAUUUAUUGGGCGUAAAGCGAGCGCAGGUGGUUUAUUAAGUCUGGUGUAAAAGGCGGUGGCUCAACCAUUGUAUGCAUUGGAAACUGGUAGACUUGAGUGCAGGAGAGGAGAGUGGAAUUCCAUGUGUAGCGGUGAAAUGCGUAGAUAUAUGGAGGAACACCGGUGGCGAAAGCGGCUCUCUGGCCUGUAACUGACACUGAGGCUCUAAAGCGUGGGGAGCAAACAGG
rnacentral:rRNA from 1 species